rnacentral:rRNA from 1 species
GAGUUUGAUCCUGGCUCAGGACGAACGCUGGCGGCGUGCUUAACACAUGCAAGUCAAGGAGAAAGGGAAUCUUCGGAAUCCUGAGUAGACUGGCGAACGGGUGAGUAACACGUAGGUAACCUGCCCACGAGAUAGGGAUAACUUUGCUAACGCGGAGCUAAUACCUGAUAAUAUCCCGACAACACAUGUUGUCGAGAUCAAAGCUGCCUUCGGGUAGUACUUGUGGAUGGACCUGCGCCCCAUUAGCUUGUUGGUAAGGUAGUGGCUUACCAAGGCGACGAUGGGUAGCCGGCCUGAGAGGGUGACCGGCCACACUGGGACUGAGAUACGGCCCAGACUCCUACGGGAGGCAGCAGUGAGGAAUAUUGCGCAAUGGGCGAAAGCCUGACGCAGCAACGCCGCGUGGAUGAUGAAGCUCUAAGGAGUGUAAAGUCCUGUUAGAAGGGAAGAACAGUACCGACAUGAAUAAUGUCGGUAUUUGACGGUACCUUCAGAGAAGGCCCCGGCUAACUCCGUGCCAGCAGCCGCGGUAAUACGGGGGGGGCAAGCGUUGUCCGGAAUUAUUGGGCGUAAAGAGCGCGUAGGCGGGACAGUAUGUCAGAAGUGAAAACCAUGGACUUAACUCAUGGCCUGCUUUUGAAACUGCUGUUCUUGAGUACGGUAGAGGGAAGUGGAAUUCCUGGUGUAGCGGUGAAAUGCGUAGAUAUCAGGAAGAACACCGGUAGCGAAGGCGGCUUCCUGGACCGUAACUGACGCUGAGGCGCGAAAGCGUGGGGAGCAAACAGGAUUAGAUACCCUGGUAGUCCACGCCGUAAACGAUGGGCACUAGGUGUUGGUUUGUGAUUAGCAGAUCAGCGCCGAAGCUAACGCAUUAAGUGCCCCGCCUGGGGAGUACGAUCGCAAGGUUGAAACUCAAAGGAAUUGACGGGGGCCCGCACAAGCGGUGGAGCAUGUGGUUUAAUUCGAUGCA